rnacentral:tRNA from 1 species
GCGAGGGUGGUGGAAAGGUAGACGCAGGGGACUUAAAUCCCCUGGAGCUUAGCGCCGUGAGGGUUCAACUCCCUCCCCGGGCACCA